rnacentral:lncRNA from 1 species
UACCGUCACAUAUCAUCAGUAAAGAUAAUGAAGUAGCUAUAACCAUCUCUGGCCUGCACAUCAAAUGGACCAUAUACAUGUUAGAUUUCGAUGAUGUAGCAGAAUAUGAAUUUUAAAAAUUUUAACAUGCAUUCAAUAAUUAAAAAUAAUAUUUAACAAUUAAACAAAACCAUCGGAACAUAAAAUUCUAGAAACCCCUUAAUGAUUACAAUCAAACCACAAAAACAUGCAUAUCAGGAGAAGAUCAGAAGUCAUAUACCAUAAUGAAUAUCAUGAACUGGUAAUUUUGAUAUCUCCACGAGACUUCAAAAUAGAAGCCCUCCAAUGGUGAUCCACACGGGAGUGAUCAGGGCCCUUUCCAAUUCAUCAUGGUGCUGCAGCCUUCUUCCUAAGUGCGCUGCCGAUUGUCCUUCGUAAGAACUGAUUGCACCACUCCUUAUAUGCCUUCAAGACCUCCACUAAGAUCUCUUUAGGAACUCUUUUCCAAAAGAUUAUAUCACAUAAAAAUUAAAUCAGAUGUUCAACACUUGAACAAUCUGAUUUUUGGACAAGCAUCACAUGCUUUCCAAUUACUUCUUCUCUUCCUUUCCAUUUUUCUUUUCCUCUUUUUCUUAUCUUUUUCCUAAAUUUUUUUCAUCAAUUUUUUCUCCUUUCCAUGCCUAUCUACAACCUAAUUGGCACACUGAAACCAGGUGUAGUGCCCCUUUUAAAUGGAAAAGGAUGGGCGACACCAUGGGACGCCAACUCUUGGCAUCCCUUAAUUCCUAUACGAAAUUCUUUUAUUUUUCUUGUGGAAUUCAAAGGGGUGGUGUGGAAACUAAAGAUGUUAACCAGUAGAAGAACUCUUUCUCUAUUUAAAAAAAUAUAAUGCCAUCAUAUGGCACGUGGGAUAAGAGGGAGGGCGUGAAAAACCAAGAGUCCAUGAUAUUAUGGACUCUUCCAUAUUAAUGCAAAUAUAUGGCAUCCCAUUUAUUAUUUGGCAUUCAAAUUCCUUCCAAG